ACAGAGGUGGCAAGCGUUGUUCGGAAUUACUGGGCGUAAAGGGCGCGUAGGCGGCCUUGUAAGUCCUGUGUGAAAUCCCCCGGCUCAACUGGGGAACUGCACAGGAGACUGCUUGGCUUGAGUUCGGGAGAGGGAAGCGGAAUUCCGGGUGUAGCGGUGAAAUGCGUAGAUAUCCGGAGGAACACCGGUGGCGAAGGCGGCUUCCUGGACCGACACUGACGCUGAGGCGCGAAAGCCAGGGGAGCAAACGGGA
rnacentral:rRNA from 1 species